GAGAAGAUGGAAAAUCCGCCAUCUUUGACUGCUGAAGAAAAAUAAUUAUUUAGCGAAUGUGUAUGUUAAAGAGGUUUAUAUUUCGGAUUAUCCCAGAAAGAAAUCAUGCAUUGGAUUUGGAAGAACGAUGAAGUCUACUGGACAAAGUGAAAAAAAAUAAUUAUUAUUUUAAAAUUUCAUUGUCAUAUUGUUAUGCUUGUCUCAGUAUAUGGAGAAAUAAAUAUUUAUGAAUUUUGA